ACCCGCUGAACUUAAGCAUAUCAAUAAGCGGAGGAAAAGAAACCAACAGGGAUUGCCUUAGUAACGGCGAGUGAAGCGGCAACAGCUCAAAUUUGAAAUCUGGCCUCUUUGGGGUCCGAGUUGUAAUUUGCAGAGGGCGCUUUGGCGUUGGCAGCGGUCCAAGUUCCUUGGAACAGGACGUCACAGAGGGUGAGAAUCCCGUACGUGGUCGCUAGCCUUCGCCGUGUAAAGCCCCUUCGACGAGUCGAGUUGUUUGGGAAUGCAGCUCUAAAUGGGAGGUAAAUUUCUUCUAAAGCUAAAUACCGGCCAGAGACCGAUAGCGCACAAGUAGAGUGAUCGAAAGAUGAAAAGCACUUUGGAAAGAGAGUCAAACAGCACGUGAAAUUGUUGAAAGGGAAGCGCUUGCAGCCAGACUUGCCUGUAGUUGCUCAUCCGGGCUUUUGCCCGGUGCACUCUUCUGCGGGCAGGCCAGCAUCAGUUUGGGCGGUUGGAUAAAGGUCUCUGUCAUGUACCUCUCUUCGGGGAGGCCUUAUAGGGGAGACGACAUGCAACCAGCCCAGACUGAGGUCCGCGCAUCUGCUAGGAUGCUGGCGUAAUGGCUGU
rnacentral:rRNA from 1 species